AGUCCUACACCUACAAUACAUUGAGUACAAUAGUAUCAGUCAUUAUACCCAUAAAACCUAGCGCUAAACCCCGGAAAUAGUUCUAAUAUUUUUUAAACAUUAAUUUUUGCGUCUGGGAUUUUAGAACUAUUUCAUAUAAACUCUGUGUUUCAUAUUGGCUUAACCUGGCACGACAUUUUGGAUAACCGCGCAAAUCUCUCAGACAUGGUAAAUUGUAUCUAUAUAUUCACGGGUAAUUACCUCCCAAAAUGAAAUGCCAAUGGGACUUUCAUAAAGAACUACACGUCUUGUCGCAAAGUAUGACGUCAAACCCUCAAGGCACCGUUCUCCACGCAAACUCAUCGACAAGUAGCCUAGCAAGAAACAGAUAUUAUAGGCGUUUCAGUUUCUCGUGUGUAUAUCGUUCAGCAUUUUUUUUAAAUUGCAUAGCUUGCUACCUUAGCGUCUUUAAAUGACUAUAAUUUAUUAAGUUACCCUCUGCCUUUGUAGAUAACUAGCUGUGCUAUGUAACGUUACCGGAUUGUAACCACUACUCCAAUAAGUACAUGUUAUCCAACCUCUAAGUGAGAGGCAUCGCUAGAGCUGUGUGAUAAGAUGGACGGACCGGAAACCCAGUGACAACACUCGAGUCUGUAGCUGCCAUUUUCCAGUGGGAAAGAGAUGGCUCUGUAUUUACCAGAGGAGGUAGUUCAUCCAUCAUGGUGGAUGAGGAAGAUCCAGACUGUGUAUAGGCAAACAAGAACAAACAAAUAGGAUUGAGUGUCCAACAGGAGUGAAUCCCCCAGGCUAUCCGGUGCAUGGACAUCCUGUGGCAGUGUGAUCCGGUUGUGGAGACGACAGCAGAUCGAGCCUGUGGACAGACAGACAGGAGGUGUGACAUGUGAAACAUCAGGCGCUCACCAUGAGAAGCAGUGCAUGAUCAACACCAGCCUCAGCAAGGAGAUCUUGUCACGGCUGUUGAAGGGGGAGGACCAAGGUGCAACGUGGUGAGCGUACAUAUUCUUUAUUAUUAUCACGUCGACAAUAAACACUACAAAAUAAAGCUAUGUGCCCUAAACAAAGUCAACUUCCCACAAAGAAAGGAGGGGAAAAAGUGAUACCUACGUAUGAUUCCCAAUCAGAGACAACGAUAGACAGCUGUCCCUGAUUGAGAGCCGUACCCGGCCAAAACAUAGAAACACCAAAUCAUAGAAAACGAAACAUAGAAUGCCCACCCCAAAUCACACCCAUACCAAACCAAAUAGAGACAUUAAAAGGCUCUCUACGGUCAGGGCGUGACAGAUCUGCUGGAAGUGAUGUACUCUCUCACUCCGGGGGUAAGACAUAAUUUAAACAUCACAGAUAAAAAAAAAUCCCACUGUGCCCAUGAUAAAAUUCAAUGUGAGUUCUGAAUGAACCUGAGGAGGUGCAGCACCAGGGCUGGGCGGUAUAUCGUGUUUUACUAUAUACCGGUAUUAAUUCAGGACCUUUUUUUCGUCAUUACCACUGCUCCAUCAUUGCUUUCGUCAACCUCCCUCUCCUCAUGGUGUACCAGUUGCGAAUGGUGCGCUGUCCAACGGUUUUCUGCUGCUCCACCGACAACGCCACGUCAGCCAGGAUGCCUGCACGCCCCAGGUGCCCUGGUUUUUUUAAACAAUAUCAGGCACAGACAGGGAUGACAGGGAGGGUAGCGAUUGUUCUGGCUCAGGUUCAACAAGACAUGCGUUUCCACUGAACCUGCCCCGGAGAUGGUUCCUUACCCACUAACGAUCUCGUGACAGACGGUUGUAGUCUUUGGCCAGGUAAAGUUCCAUUGACUGCACCUGGUUGGGCACGGCUGGCUUCCUCCACUCGCAUUCUACAUCCGUAUGGCCGAUAUUGUGAACCGCUAAAAAGGCUGCAUGGCUCCACUUUUGAGCUCCAUGGAGCCAUUCGUAUGUGG